AACGAACGCUGGCGGCAGGCUUAACACAUGCAAGUCGAACGCGUGUAGCAAUACACGAGUGGCGCACGGGUGAGUAACGCGUGGAUAUCUGCCUUUUGGUUCGGAAUAACUCCGGGAAACUGGAGCUAAUACCGGAUGGUUCCUACGGGAUAAAGAUUUAUCGCCAAAAGAUGAGUCCGCGUACGAUUAGCUAGUUGGUGAGGUAAUGGCUCACCAAGGCGACGAUCGUUAGCUGGUCUGAGAGGACGAUCAGCCACACUGGGACUGAGACACGGCCCAGACUCCUACGGGAGGCAGCAGUGGGAAUAUUGGACAAUGGGGCAACCCUGAUCCAGCCAUGCCGCGUGAGUGAUGAAGGCCUUCGGGUUGUAAAGCUCUUUGGCGGGGACGAUGAUGACGGUACCCGCAGAAUAAGCCCCGGCUAACUUCGUGCCAGCAGCCGCGGUAA
rnacentral:rRNA from 1 species